CCAAAAAAAAAAAAAAAAAAAACCUCUUCAUAAAUAAUAAUCCUACAAAAUAUCCCAUUCUUUAUUUUCGAUGUGUCUUCUUCUAUCAGAGAAGUGAAAACAAACGGAAGUGAUUCCUAAUCUUAAAGAUGAGGAGAGGAGUAUUUGCUCCUCAUACUUGAACCUGACUGGUCGAAUCAAGAUUUUCCAUCCAUAAUUUUGUAUUUAAACAAAUAUCCAAUCUAUUUCAAAUGUGAAUUAGAUGCAUGUCAAUUUAAUUUUUGUAAUUGACUAUUUUCCAAAUAAUAAAUUUAAACUCAUGAAUGCAUCUCUUAUAUGGCUUUUAAAAAAAAAAAAAAAAAAAUCUCAAUUUCAAAUUAUCUGGAUUUUGGAAAAGCUAUUGUCAUUUUCACUUUUUGGCAAAACAAAUUUGCUUCAAAUGUUAUAAGAUACAUCUAUAUGGGCCAUAUAGCAGCACCAUUAUGCUCCGUGACGAUAACCAAGGUAAAGUCAGUUGUCACAUGGUGAGCAUAGGUGCGAACUUUCUUUUAACUCCACCGAUCAAGUAAACCACCUAAGUGCAACUAAUCUUUUUAUUUUUCAGCCAAAAUUUCGAUUUAGAUGGACCCGAACAUCGUCUUUUGCAAGAGCCGUAACUAUCCCUCCCUCGGAGACCCUAUCCGAUAAGAUUUUUCUAGUACUUUUUCCCUAAACGCAAGCGUGAUCAUUAGCUAAGGAGAGUCCAUAGUUUUUACCUUAGUGGUUUUGCAAGAUUAACAAUGUUUAUGGACAAUGAGUAUGCGGUAUCGGGUACAUUGCUAGUGCCCGACUUUAGGUGUGGUCAAAGUGGUGUCCAAAAUCAAGAACACUGAUUAGACUAGUCCACCACUAAUGAGCAACUUGAACAAAGUUAGAAAGUAAAUCGGUCAAUUGACUUAGAAACCCUAAUGAGUACUUGAAAGAGGCAUAAGUUUGGACGACACUAAAAAGAUGUGAUUAGACCCAUAUCAAAUUCUCGACGGAGUCUUCUUUCCCUUUAAAUCGCUGACGCAGUAGUCCAAUUACCUCGAGCCGUCCUAUGUGGCAUAUUGUCACAUCAACAAUUUCCGGUAAAAAUCGCCUAGAAGGAAUACAUUGAAAUUUUGCACAAAAGUUUAAGACUAAAUUGAUAAGAUCGGAAAGUUUAUGAUUGAAUAAAUAUCUGUACAAUAAGUUUAGGAUUGAUUGGAUAAUUUCCCCAUAAAUAUAAAGACUACUAGGGGUUUAUAAGAUGCUGCAAAUAAUUAUCUUGACUAAGGUCGACUGUCGGCAAUGACAAAACUAAGGUCGACUAUCAGUGAUGACGACCCGAUGCAGUGUGACACUAUCGAUCUCUUAUUUUUUUAUAAGAAAUUAGUUUAUUUUCCUGUCCUUAAUUAAACGAUGGCCUACAAUUUGUAAUAAAAAGAAGAAAGGGAUCCCCCGAUAAGAUGCUUGAGCUCAUGGAUGUUAUAUUCUCAAGAAUACUAACUAUCACUUUUGUGGUAACAAUUGGAUGCUAAGGAAGGAGUUUCGGUAAAGAGUAGCUAGACCAAAUCCUCCUCAAGCAUUGGCCGACUCGUUUGAUCUCAUCCCAAAUUGAAUUUGAAUCCCCUUUUGGAAAAGGCCUUAAGAUAUUAAAUUCGAUAUGUAUAAAUAUAAAUAUAUAUAAUCACAAUCCCGAUUAAAAAUCAUACGGUCGCACCUUUUCGAGGGGGUGGGGGGAGACACAGAGAGACAAUAAUGCACUUAAUUUCGGAAUUAUCUCCCAAUAAUUGCCUCAAUAGAAUACUAGAAAGUGAGAUUAAUUAAUUAACGUAAAGAGAUAUUACAACCGAAAAGAGAAGGAAAAAACAAUACAAAAAAAAUAAAUAACGAUAAAAAAAGAGGAAACUAAUCCCAAAAAAAGGGAAUUUCCUCGGGAUAUGGUUCUCCUCCAUGUAGUAUUUUGCUUUUCGAUUUCUGAUGAAGUUAACUUUUCUUUUUGGGCCAAAAGUCUACCCAAAUACGGCGUCGCAAAAGCAGCCAAAAUGCAGGACCACCUUAUUUUCGUAGACUUCCGCACACGAAAAGAAAACCCCGUCCAGCCCACGUCUCCCUCCCUUUUUCCUCGGGCCCCACCUUUUCUUCCGCUGGUCAAAGGGAGAGAAAAAAAAACGAAGACGAAAUUACGAAAAGGACCCGGAGCCAGUCAACGGUCAGCGCCACGCGUCGGGAUGCCCCCUCCGGAUCAGGGCUUGGAGAUGGAGGCCGCGUCCUUGGCGUCGACGCCUCCUCCGGCGGCCGCGCCGCCGGCCAGCGCGGCGGACUGGACGGUCAGGGCGGACACGCUCGGGGAGGUGGGGCCGUCGCCGGGGCCCUGGUGGUGGUGGUGGUGGUGGUGGGCGGAGGGGGAGGGGAGGGGGAUGCGGGACUGGCAGGUGGCGGUGGAGAUGGCGGUGGCGAGGGAGAUGGGCAUGAGGCAGAGGCCCUUCCCCUGCAGGUACUGCAUCGCCGACCCCAUGUCCUCCUCCAUGAGCUUCGCCACCUGGUGCUCCGAAACCGUCAGGCUGUCCCCGGAGGCGCCGCCGUUGGAGCUGCUCCGCCCGCUGCCGUUCGCCUGAGAACCGUCGCCGCCACCGCCUCCCUGCAGAUAAGACAAGGAAGAGACCCCGAUUCAAUCUCUCAUAAUUAUAUCUCAAAAACGCAUACAGAAUUCACCAAAAAGAGGACAAGGGAGGGGACAGGGAAGUGGGGAAAAGAGGUAAGUCGGAAAGUGGGUCGAGAGCGAUUUUUCUAUAAUUUCCCAUCGAGAGAGAGAGAGAGAGAGAGAGACAGCGAGAGAGUGGAAUCUGAAAAAGGAGGCACGCGUGCUGCUUUGGUUUUGUCGUCUUGUGUUGAUUGAGGAAUUUCGGGGGUACUUUUGAAUUAGUUUUUUCUAUUGGAGUAUGAGUAGCCCGUGUUUUGGUGGUACCUCAGAGGACAUAUCGGCAACGAGAGGCGCAACGGCAGCCGCACCGCCCAGCCUGCUCAUACUCAGCACCUGUGCCAAAACGAAACACACGGAGAGAGAAAAAUCAGCAGCUCAUCCAUGUUCUUCAUAAGCUCAUACGCCAUACGGAGAUGGAGUGGCUCUUGGCUACUAAUAUUCAAUUCACGGUAUUGAUUAUGUCCCUAACAACAAUGUCAACGAAGGGAAUCAUUCCCUUUUUUUAAUGCGAGAGAGAGAGAGAGAGAGAGAACCUUGACUUGAAGCUGGAGGAAUUUCACAUAGUCGAUAAUCUCAUCCAGCAUUGAUGCCUUGUCCGUCUGUCAUUCCCCAAGACCAGCACCGCCCCAUCGGGAACACCCCCAAGACAAAACAAGAAAAGGUUAGAAUUUCCCCCAUAAUGAAAAACUGAUCUUCUUCGAAAUGGAAUAACUGAACUGAACACAAUUCAUGGCCAGAGCAGAGCCUCUCUGACUAGCGGUUACAGAGUUCCCAGAUGGGAACUGAGGAAAAGAAGGGGAAUCUUCAUGGUAAUGAGCAAACCGAAUAAACAAAUGAUUUAGGGUAUUUUUAAAACAUCAUAUAAAAAUGGGGAAACAUCAGAAGACAAUAAAUGCAACAGGCAGUGGAAUUAAAUGAAGCUUCUUGCACCUUGUUGGCAUUGGGAACCAGCUCCUGCAGCGCCUUCAUUCUCUCCGCUAUCCUCUCUCUCCUCAGCUGCAACCCCACCACCACACAAUUCCAAUUUUAGGAACUCGAUAAGUACAAAACCCAGAAAUUAUUUUAAAAAAUAAAUGUGGGGAAAAAAAAAAUUUUGAGCAGGCCCCCAAAAAAAUAAAAAUCAUGUCUUUUUCGCAAGAACAAAUUGGAUUAGUUGGAGCGCACUCUUUCAGCAAUACUGUGAGGAUCGGUGGCUUGGCCUCUCCUCGCCCUCACUCUCUGCCUCGGCUGGCCCGGCGCGGCCGCAGUGCCCGCGGUGCCGCCCGACCCGCUCGCCGCCGCCGCCGCCGCCUGAGCGCUGAAAUUCGGUGACGCUUGCAUUGAUCCCCCCUGUGAUGAUUUCCCAGAACAGAUUGUCAGAAAGUUAUGCCCCCAAAAAGAAGAGGAAAAAACCAAGUGGGGGAAAAAGAUAACGUAAAGAAAAGGGGGAAAUGCCUGAGGUAGAGAAAAAUGCUGUGAAUGGUUCGAAGUUUGGCCAUUGCCAUGCAGAGAUCCGGCGAAGCCAUUGAACAGAGCUUGAACUGAGCUGUCACCUCCCUGCGAUCAAAACCCACCCACUUCACUGUAAUUUCAACUUCUAUGAAACAUUCGAACCAUCGUGCUUUUUCUUAUUAAAAAAUUCAAACUUUUUUUAAUGGAUUACAGAGCACUUGAAAUUUGACCCGCACUAACACUCUAAAAAAUUUUCAAAACAACAAAAGCAAAAAUGGCAUCCCGAAAAGUUUUACCAGAUUCGCAGACUUGAAAUGGGAAGACGACGGCGACCCGUCGCCUCCGGCCAUCAACAUCUGCUGCAGCAUCAUCGCCUUGGCGGCCGCGGCCGCGGCCUGAGCGCCCCCUCCGCCGCCUCCACCGCCGCCGCCGCCGAUCUGGUGCUGCCUCAGCUUCGCGGCCAGGACCGUGGCCUCGUCCAGGCCGUGGAAGCCGACGUCCUCCGACAGGUCGACGGUGACGUCGCCGUUCUGGCCCAUGGGGAGGUGGUGGGCCGCGGCGGGGUCGCCGCCGGUGCCGAGGUGGUCGGCCCAGGAGGGGAUCCCGGAGAACAUGUGGUCGAGGAAGUCGUCGCCGGAGGAGGAGGAGGGGUCGAAGUGGUGGUGGCCGGCGCCGGCGCCGCCGCCGCCGGCCUGGAUCUGGCCGUGGUGGGGGUGGCUGCCGUUGCUGCCCUGGAGGUCGUGGAGGGAGACCUGCUGAGGGUUCAGCAGGGAGCUGAGGGUCUGCAUCUCUCUGCUGCAGGGCUGCAUGCUGGAAGAAGGAGAAGGAGAAGGAGGAGGAAGAGAGAGGAAGAGAGAGAAAGAGAAGGGAAUGGAUGUGAGAGAGAGCGAGAGGUCUUCUUCUUCUUCUUCUCCUUCUUCUUCUACUUCUUCUACUUCUGUGUUGUUUGGAUUUAGUGGUUGGAGUGAUCUGGGGAAGUGAAUCUGAAGGAGAGAUGAUGUUGGCGUUUCAGUUUUUUUCUGGGGGGUGUGUGCGUGUGUUUUCCCUUUUUAUGCAUUUGAGUUGAUUUUGAGUGUGCUAGUUGUCCACAGCGCGUGAAGCGGACGAGCGAACCUGAAUUUAAAAAAAAAAAUUAUAUUGAAUUUUAUGGAGAAAAGGGUAUGGGAAAAAGGAAAAAAAAAAAAAAAAGGGAAUAUUACGGGGGAUCUGAUUAUAACUGCUAAUUGGGUUUGUUUUGGGGGAGGAGACCAGGUCAAAUUGGAUAGGGAAGUUAACUGCCUAUCUAAUUAUCUAUUGUGUGAAGUCACUAUGAUCUAACGAUUCAUGUAAAGUGAAUUCAUAUAGAUUAAGAGUAUCUAGAAAAAUGUCGGAAUUUUUCAUAAUAGCACUUCGGAAUAUGAUUUAGGCGAAAAUCCACGACUAGUGGGUAAGUUGCCGUAAUUGUUGUGGACAAUUUUUUUUUUCCCUCAUUUUUAUUUCCUUUGUGUGGUGUGGCUGAAGGCUUCUGUAAGAGAUUGAGAAGCUCUCAACACACGGAAAUGCGAAUCGUUGGAAUCCUACCUAAAUUUGUUUUCUAACACCAAUCAGAAAAGACGAUGUAAAUCCCUUCUUGAGGAAAGGGUAGCGAGGUUCAGACAAGCUCCUGUGUAUCUUUUCGAUCGCGUUCUUUAGAUUUUUAAUUUGUUUAAUCAAGAUUUUGAGGUUGGUUGACUUUUCUAAUCAAGCAUCUUUAGCUCCGGUUCUAACUACUGGAAGAUUAAAAUAUAUGGUAUAGUCGGUGAGAAUCCAAACUAGAAAAUUCAAGUGCAAUGUUUCUGUUAAAAGUUCUCUUUGCUUUAAGGUUUUUGGUUAUAGCUUUUCACUUUUAAGAUUUAAUCGCAUGCAUCCGUUAACCAUUCCUAAUACCAAAAAGUUCUUCCACAUCAUACUCUUGUCAGUUCCAAUGUACAUCCCAACUCUGAUUACUUUAAAUUGGAGUCGAGUAUUAAAUUAGAACAUUAUACAAAUUCAGUGACUUGAUAUGACAAAUUAAAAGUUCAAAGUACUCAAUUGAAGUUAAUGGAUUAUCCUAGGAUUAAAAGAGAACCUUUACCUAUAAUUUAUCCUAGCGUUAAACCCAAUUAGAUUCGCGGUAUCAAAUGCCACCGACAUUUCCAUGAGAUUUGACCACAGGAUCAUUUAGGCCUGCCUAUUUUUCUUGGCUACAAGAUCAUUUAGACCAGCUUAGGUCCUCCGUCUUCUAUUGAACUUCAUAACGUGCGCUUCAACAAUCGGUCAAGCCCUCAAUUUAUGGGUUCUGUCCCUAAAAUACAAGAAUCUGCUCAGCCCAAAACCUGAAAAGGAUGGAACCAUCCGCAAGCAAGUCUAAUCCCAUUCAACACGACUCGUGAGCUUUCUACACGUCCAGUUUCACCAUCACACGGAGUUUCCUUUUUCGUAACCUCAUUCUCAUCUGGCAGAGAGCUUCCUAUAACAUAAAGCUGUCGUCUUGAAUCUGUCUCCCCAGCACGAAAGCACUUUGCAUUGGUACAAUCGACUGUGACAUCAUGGGCUGCCAAUGAUCUGUCAACACUUCAGCAAAUUACUUUGCAAGCAAGAUUGCAUAAAGUAAAUCGGUCUAAAUUGAAGUAUUAUCUCCAAGGAAGCGACUUCCGGGACCAGAGCAAUCGCAAUUGUCAAGAAUUCUGUUCCUUUUACGAAGUAUUUAGUGUUCCAAUCACCUGCUUUCAAUUAGCAAGCAUGGGAUCUUUGGUGCUUAAUGUUGUUCUGCGGUCACCAUAAUUGAUCGAUUCUGGCCUUGGUAGCUUUCUGUCUGUCUUGAUCAAAGGGGCCUGACGUGCUGUUUCCCACGUUAGUUAAACUGCUGCUGAAACUGCUCCAUUCUGCUGCUGAAACUGCUCCAUUUCCUCUUUCGCAUUCACCUGCUCCCAGCAGAUAAAGCUAGGAAGACUUUCCUGGACCAUUACUGGGAUCUGAAGCUGAAGUCCAUUCUAUGUCAACAAUGCCAGAACAUCCCUCAUCAUCUUGCUAAAUAGCUUCAAAGCGAAAUCCUCGUCCCCCUCUUAUGCGUUCAACCGUAGCGGUGAUAGUGGAGGGUUGUGAUCUGAGUGAAUUGCACGGCUAACUCAAACUCAAACAAGUUCUCCAAUCGAUUGUUCCAGUGCAUUUGCAACUCCAUCUUUAUUAUUUGACCCGGUGAAAACAUACCCUUUAUUUUCAAGAUCCAUCGAAUGGCAAUCGUCCAGAAAUUUCGUUUCAAUCAGAAAAAGAACACUGGGCCCAAGCUGAACCAUGAGGUUCUCAAGUUCUUGAAUUCUUAAGAGAUUGCCCAGCCCUUGACAGUUCUCAACCUAUCAGACUAACGAAUGCUAUGGCGGCUGUUUCGGGCCAGCCGCCUCAUCCCAUCUAUAAGUGUUAACUUCAACGAGAUCGGAGUUUCAGUAAGUGUCGAGCCAUCCAGGCCCCAGGGAAUUCUCCUGAUGUUCCAACACCAUAAGGCUCAAAUCACUGUUUGUUCCUUGUGGUUCCCAAGUUGUUUUAUUCAGAAGCCUUUUUCUCAGGACCCAAAGGAUCCUUGCCCUUUCUGGAUCCAAGCUUUUGUUAGUUUCUUUAAAGCCUACGCCUGUUUCCUGGGCCCCAAAGGAUCCCUGCCCAGAAGAGGCAGACGCCUGGCCAGUGGGCUCGAAGGGAACGAUUCCCAUUUCCAUGUCUUCUUCCUCAUCUACUGGAUUACCUCCACGAAACUCUUCACCGUGAAAAACAUUCCAGAAGGCUUGAACUCCCCAAAUUCUACUUUCAACCACGUCCCAUUUUCACAAUCUUCCUCCUGUAUCUUUGAAAUGCUCGCAACAUCUGGUAUAAUGGACGAUUUUCCACUAACAUAACCAAAGAAAUCUUUCAUGCUAGAAAUCAAUCCACACAUUAUCACCUCCCUCACUAGACAAGACACAUGACCUCAAGGACAAUGCCAGAUCGUGAUCGACUUUAACCCGAGCAACACAUACAUCGAACCUCUCUUUUAAGAUAGAAACAUAUAAAACCUCAUGAUUCCGUAACUAGGUACAUGCAACAGCUUGAAACAUUUGCAGUAAGGGAAGUCUUAAUUCAUAUUUCUAAGUGGACAUUGUCCAAUAACAUACUCACCAGGCCACUCAUCAAAAUACACUCGUACAUAUAUGUACCUUAUUUCGUCCCAACAUUUGGGGGAGGUUGAUGCAAAAGAACUUCAAGAACGGAAGCGAAUUGGAGCUAUUUUCAUAGCGACGUACUCUCUAAAACUAGUCAUUAUCUACGCUUUAUUACUAAGUUUUUUAGCCCAUGGUGUAAGAAGGGGUAGGCAGAUUGAUGACGGUGCUCUUGACCUUAGUCAUCAUAUUGAUGCUGUUUGUGACUCCCUGUGAACCUAUUCCACUGUCCUUCAAACCCUGCACCAUCAAGCAUUUCAGCAGUCAUUUCUUCUGUGCUCGCAGAAAAAAAUAUUGAUAUGGUAUUUACAAUGUGAUAGAAAUCUUAUAAGAUGCUUAUGAUUUUCAAGUUUACCUGGAAAGGGAAAUGGUCUGGCCCUCGAGCCGGGGCAGAGUUAAUUUGAACUGAACCGGUCUCCAUUGCGUCGCUGAUCAACAUUGCCUUGUUGAUGUCGCGCGUGAAGACACAACCCUGCAAUUUUUAAGGCAUUUUAUUACUACUGGGAAGAAAGAAAUUUUGUUAGACUGUUAUCUAUAAGAAGACAUGAUGAUGUCUCCAACAGGAUGCUUUUCUCUGAUUUCAUCCAACUGUGGCUUUUGGAAUUUCGUGGAAACCAUAAGUGUAACUAGUAACACAUUUAGAUAGGUAGCUUAGUGAUAGCACAUUUAGACAGGUAGCUUAGUGUACCUCGACACACAAGUAAUGCUGUGUACGUACUUCUUUUCUUCAUUUGAUUUUAAUUCGUUAUCCUGUGGCUGCUUAUAAUUUGACAAGAGUGCAAGGGAUUGUCGCAGAUACCAGAUUAAAUCAUACCUGGAGACCGAAAUUGCUGGCAUUACAAUGGUUAAUCCCUUCUUCGACAGAGUUGAUCCUGAUGACUGGCAAGAUUGGCCCGAACGGCUCCUCCCACGCGAUCCUCAUGUCGGGCCUGACGUUAUCCAACAGCACUGGCCAUAUGAGGUUGCCUUCUCUCUUGUAUGGCUGGCAGAAGGUUGCGCCCUUCUCCUUGGCGUCCAUCACCAGCCCCUCGAUGAAGUUGGCAGACGAUUCUGAGACGACCGGUGUUAUGUCACGGUUGUCCUCGGGCGGCCCCACGGUUAGUUUCGCCACUUUGGCAUUCACCUUUUGAACCAAAGUGUCCGCAAUGGAGUCCAUCACCAGGACGACUUUCACCGCUGUGCAUCUUUGACCGCUGUUGUGGACAAGGAGAGUAUGAAUACGGGUUAGUGUCCGCAGCGGGUAACAGAUUUUGCGGAUGAUGUGAGCAACCGUCAAUUUUGGUGGCCUUAAGGGAAAGAGUAUAACUAUGAAGGAAGUUAUGAAUGCUUGCAGAUCACUUGGGUCACCUGUAAGAAAAGCCUCCUUUCACGAUGUUGGCAGCUGCCAAGUCGAUGUCGGCAUCUUCAAGCACAAUGCAAGCAUCUUUGCCACCCAACUCCAUCUGAAGAGGAAUCAUGCCGGCCUUCUUUGAAAUGGCAACUCCAGUGUCUCCGCCAGUGAAGCUGAAUAGGAAAAGGCAAUUCAUGUUAGUAAUCACAAACCUUGCAAGAGGCAAAGAGAUCAUAAAUAGCGAGAAGAUGGCCGCAAGAAUUACCUUAUGCAGUUCACCCCCGGAUGCAUAGUAAGAAAGUCACCGAUUUCAGAGCCUUUUCCGGUGACGCAGCUGAUGAGACCUUUGGGAAAACCAGCUAAGUGAAAGCAGUGCACCAUGUGAAGGCAAGAUACAGCACCCUACAAGGAGUUAUGUACAGUUUUCAGGAUAGCCAAAUUGAUCAGGAUCUAACAGAAGAAAAAAGAAACGCAAAUUUUAAUGGGAGGCUCAGAAGAGUAAACGCAAGGCCUGUAGUAUGCAAAAGUUUCUACUCCUCACGCACGCAUAACAAUACACACUGAGACACAAACUCACAAAUGAGAACAUGCACAGGACUGAAUGGGCUACAAUAGGCGCGGCCAAUAGCAUGAAACUGAGUAUCCACCAUAAUUAGAGCUUCUUUAGUUAAUAAUUAGUGAAAGUAACACGGCAAGAACAUACCUGGGUGGGAGGCUUUAGAACAAGAGAGUUUCCAGCAAUCAGAGCAGGGCCAAUCUUUGAGACAGCCAGGUUAACUGGGUAGUUAAAUGGUGGAAUGGCUAACACUACGCCAAGUGGAACCUGCAGUUCAAAACAAAAACAUUUGAAGCACGUCACAAAUCAUUUCGACCAUUAGAAGCCAAACAUCUUCUGCUCUCUCUCUCUCUCUCUCUCUCUCUCUCUCUCUCUCUCUCUCUCUCUCUCCCGUGCCCACACCCACACACAGACAUGGACGGUAGCAGAUCUAAGAUACGGAAGCACAUGGAUUGGAUGGCCUAAAAUUUCUGCUGAUCUUCCUCUAACAGUCAAAAAGGGAAUGCAAAAAGCAACGCUGUUGCUCCUGCUGCUAUGUUCGCCCUUCAUGUUGGGCUAAUAAGACAAUUCAUGUUCAUGUUUUCUCCUAAGUAUCAUAUACUUCAGAGAUUCAAUGGCCAAAUUCAUCUUUGCAGUGCCUGUUUAGGUUCUUUUCACAACUUAAGUUUUCUGGACAACUGCUAUCUAAUAUGGAACUGGGGCAUAGGUCAUCUGUUCAAGUCUGGCAUUACCUCUAGAUUGUUUUGUCCGUUACUCUCAUCAUUGUUCCAUAUUUUUUUUCCCAUUUGCUCUACAUUCACAUCAUACAUUUCCGGCUGAAAGAUGACGAUUAACAUAAAUUUGAUACACAUUGUUAGCCUGCUACUAAAUAACCUAACAAAAUAUUUAGGCUAAAAGAAGGCCACACAGAAAUGUUUGUUUAAAAAUGUGACUUCACCUAAUAUUGGGAUCUCUAUUUGUGAUACUAAGGAAACUAAUGCAAGAAGCGGCGCCGGUUGCAAGCUAAUAAUAAAUAGGUGGACCCUUUCUUUCUUUUGGUAAAAAUUUUAUAGGUGGACCUUACCAAACUUUAUCACUUUUCACUGAGUAAUGGAGGGCACUUGAUCAAGUAAAUGGCCACACCGAAAUGUUUGUUUAAAAAUGUGACUUCCCCUAAUAUUGGGAUCUCUAUUUGUGAUACUAAGGAAACUAAUGCAAGAAGCCGGUUGCGAGCUAAUAAUAAAUAGAUGGACCCUUUCUUUCUUUUGGUACAAAUUUUAUAGGUGGACCUUACCAAACUUUUAUCACUUUUCACUGAGUAAUGGAGUGCACUUGAUCAAGUAAAUGGCAUAUAACCAAGAGAAAUUUUACCUUAGAAGUGAGGCAGUACUUGGUCCUCUCGUUUCCAGGAAAACUGUCGGAGACCAGGAACGACCCCUGUCCCAGGAUUCUAACUCCUUCCUCAGCGCAAUAUGAGAUCAGAUCACCAGAUCUCACAACCUUGAUUACAUCCAAAAAAAUGGCAUAAAUCCAGUUAGUCUCAUCGCAAAAAAGCAGGAUUAAUGUAUGAGACAUUCUCUUUCUCCGUAUACCUCAGUGACCGAAUCUUUGGCUGGUUUGGCAAUUUCCUUCACAAGGCACUCGGCGAUGGGAGACUUGUGCUCCUUGAGGAGCGCGGCAGCCUUGUGAAGGAGCUCGGCCCGCUUCCAGAGCGGAGUCUUUGCCCAGGCCUUCUGUGCGCUCUUGGCUAUAUCCAUCACCUUGUUCACCUCCUCUUGUGUACAAGCUGUACAAACACACCAUCACAAAAGCCAAUUCACAUUACAAGACCACAUAAUCAAGUCAAGCUCUCGCCCUUUCAAUUGCAAGCAAUUAAUUAAACACCGAUCUCUUAAGUAAAGUAACCCCUUUUAGAAUCGAUUCUGAAGUACUUCCAAGAAAUGCAAGCUCCGUUUCGAGUUUAGUUAGGGGUGAUCGGUGGUCCAAGUUCAGUAAAGUAACCCUUUUUAGAAUCAAUUCAGCAGGAGUACUACCAAGAAAUGCAAGCUCUAUGCCUUAGAUUUAGGUAGGUAUGAACAAUGGUUGGGUUUCAACCCGGAAACCGGCCUCGCUACUCAGUUCGAUGCCAAUUCCGAGAAAGAAACUUAACUGCCAACCGGGUUCGGAUUAGCUUCCUGUUUGAGGGUCGAAACCUGCCAAUUCUACCCUGGAACCGGGCUAACUACGUCAGUUCUUAGGUAGAACCGGCGGCUUUGUCACAGGCCAGAGUACCUUUUUAAAGUAAAUUCGCGCUCUACUAACGACUAAAAACUCGAGGGAAACAAAGAGACCCCACAAUCCCCACGAUGCUAGCGCUUUCCCAAUGCACCCCAGCGGAUGGAACAGGGAGCUUCCACAUCAUAACGCGCAGGACUAAACCGAAGUUUCUGUACUUGUUACCGAACGAGGGGGAGCGAGCAUGGUACCUUGGACUUUGUACUGGGUCUUGCGGGUCGUGGGGUUGACGAUGUUGACGCUCUUGCCGGAGGCCGACUUCCUCCACUCCCCGUCGGAGUAGUACUUGUACACUUCCCCAUCCAAGAUCUCCCCAAACACCCCGGUCCCCGCCAUUGCAGCAGCUCUCUCGUCUCUCCGUGCCACUCAAGGCCUCUUCACUCGGCACACACUCCACGGACAAGGCCACACACCUACUCCCACUUCCCUACCCACAGCGAGAGAGAGAGAGAGAGAGAGAGAGAGAGAGAGAGAGAGGGAGAGGAUUGUGUGGUGAAGUGAAGGUCUGGAGAGGAAAGGAGGGAGUGAUGGGGAAUGAAGUGAUGACUCUUUGCGGGUAUAAAUAGGGGAAAGGUGAGCCACGUUUGGUUUUGCAGUUGGUGGGGUGGUGGUUCAAAGCGUGCCAGGUUAGGCUGGGAGAGCGUUAGCUGCGUCUCCUUCAUUCAUCUGCGCAUGGCAUUGCGUUGGCUUUUUUACGUUUCGUUUUCUUCCACAGGACUUUUAAGCCUUUCUUUCUUUCGUGUUUUUCACUUUCCUUUUGGGAUAUUCCAUGGAGAUCCCCUCCCUCCCCCUUUCCCCAAGGAAACGGGAAGUUUCUUACAGCCUCGUUCUUCCCGCGGCCUCCACCGUUGAAAAUAAAUCUUAUUCUACUUUUUGUCGGGAAGUCAACCAAAUUCUGUUUCUUUUUCCCUUCUUUUCUCGCAUUAAUACCACCGAGAAUUCUAAAUCCAUACGCCUAUAAUAAAUUUAUCUCAAAGUACAUUUGCCACGUAUUUAUCCUCAUUUAGUUUCCAUUUAAUUUUAUCUUCAAAUUGUUAAAUUAGAAUUUUAACGUCCGUUCAUUAUGAAUAUACUAGUUUAUGAUUUUUCGUGAUAUUGAUAUAAUUUAGUAGAAACUGACGGAAGAUAAAUUUAUUAUAAAAAUACUAGUUUGCGGUUUAAAUUUAUUAUAUGUAUACUAAUUUGAAGUUUUUCGUGAUCAAAAAAUUAAUUUAAGAUAAAUCUGUCACAUAUGUAAUAAUUUGAAAUUUUUCAUGAUAUUAACUCUUUUAUUUACAUUGGAGAAUCCAAUAUAAUCAGAAACUUGAAAGAUUACAUUAAACAUACAGAAAUAAUUUAAGGUUCCCAUCAAAAAAAUUAAAACUUCGCGGUGGGCCAAGAUUUAGGGACUAUCAACGUCAUUUUUCUUUCCUUUUCUUUUUGCCGAACAAUUCUUUCACUAGUUACUAGCAAAAAGAAUUUUUAAAAAAAAAACCCGAUAAAUGAAUUUCUAACUGAAUUAAUUGGAUGAUCGAGCGUCAACACACGUGCUAUGUAAUUGAUGCGACGACACUUUCAUAGCCCUCUUUUCUACAGCUUAGCAAACGAAACAGCUGCCGUGAGAAACCUACUUUUGUUAAUGGCCGAAAAAGAAGAUCCUCUCGCAUCUCCCAUAUGACCGGAAUUAAAAUAAUAAUAAAAAGAUACUCGCCCAGACACAGGGAGGCUCGCCGGCCCCCGGCGAGGCCGAGCCUUGCCGUCGUUGGGCGAGGCUUGGCCUCGCCUUGGCUGGGCGAGCCGGAGCUCGCCCAGUUCUGACGAGGCCAAGUGUCGCCGGUGGCUGGGCGAGCUCGGCCUCGCCCAAAUUCGGCGAGGCCGACCCUCGACGGCGUCGCCGGCCCUCAACGGCCAGUCGCUGGCCAUGGCCGAGGACGGAAGAUAAAUUUAUUAUAAAAAUACUAGUUUGCGGUUUAAAUUUAUUAUAUGUAUACUAAUUUGAAGUUUUUCGUGAUCAAAAAAUUAAUUUAAGAUAAAUCUGUCACAUAUGUAAUAAUUUGAAAUUUUUCAUGAUAUUAACUCUUUUAUUUACAUUGGAGAAUCCAAUAUAAUCAGAAACUUGAAAGAUUACAUUAAACAUACAGAAAUAAUUUAAGGUUCCCAUCAAAAAAAUUAAAACUUCGCGGUGGGCCAAGAUUUAGGGACUAUCAACGUCAUUUUUCUUUCCUUUUCUUUUUGCCGAACAAUUCUUUCACUAGUUACUAGCAAAAAGAAUUUUUAAAAAAAAAACCCGAUAAAUGAAUUUCUAACUGAAUUAAUUGGAUGAUCGAGCGUCAACACACGUGCUAUGUAAUUGAUGCGACGACACUUUCAUAGCCCUCUUUUCUACAGCUUAGCAAACGAAACAGCUGCCGUGAGAAACCUACUUUUGUUAAUGGCCGAAAAAGAAGAUCCUCUCGCAUCUCCCAUAUGACCGGAAUUAUAAAAAAAAACUGAUAAUAAAUAGAUUGCAUUUAAAAAUUGUGGGAUUUGGAGACGGAUCUGAGUUUUUGUCUGUGUUGCACCGAUCCUCGGAGCACAUCCUUGGUCCAAAAGCAGGAACUUAGGUCAAAUUUCUUUUCCUUUUUUUUUUUUUAAUUCAAGACACGUUCUCGUGGCAAUAAGGAAUGGUUUUGCAUUCGUCUUGGCCACUCUACUACCAUUUUUUUAUAUGUUAAACCAUUUCGAUGUCAUUGAAUUAAAUUUCGUGUUUGUAUUUAAUGUAAAUUUUGAUCGUGACUCAGAAGAUCCCAUUUCUCAAAAUAACUUUUAAAAUGCACGCAUGACUCCUUAAACAUGUGCACACCAAACUCAUAUGCGCACACCAUCACAGACCAAACUCAUAGGAGCACACCAAAGUUAGUGUGGAAUAAAAAAUUCCAUUUAUAUACAAACGUAAAUCAUUCAAAAUGCCAACAUGCUGUCCUUUUCUUUCUUUUUUUUCUUUUUUCCCCCCUCAUUUGCUGGUCUUGUUCGAAGCUUUGGAAAUAUCUUGGCAUGCCCAUGACACAGAAAAAGGGACAAAAGAAGUAUGAAACAAAUUCGAGCGAUAAUUUCUUCUGAAAAAAUUAUGGGCAUCAUUGAAUAUUUCUGAAAUAAUAUUUAUUUUGUCUUAUCCAUACUUCGUGAAGAAGGAAUGGGGAAUGUCCCAUACCUAAUGUCCAUAAUCCCCCAACCGUGCAAUCCUUUGGUUGUGAAUUUCAAUGUGGCAAUAAAAAUGACAUUAUCUAUCUGCAGGCCUAAUUAAUAGUUCAAAUCAUGCACAUUAAAAAUCCAUUUUAUCUCGAAAGAAUUCGCACCAAUUAUUGGUAUCAAAUAAAAAAUUCAUCCUUGUAUAAUGGAAGGGAAAUAUCCAUAUACAUGUCUUAUUCUUUUCAAUAAUCCAUAUUUGUAGCAAUGAAGCACUAUUUUUUACCCUUAAGGAAGAAAUGACUGGUUACAAAUAUAUGUGAUCUAUAAUCUCUGUAAAGGACCAUGUAUACUUGCUUAUCUAUCAUUAGUUGAAUCCAUUAACAUAAACAUGAGGGCAAGAAGAGGCAAUACAGAAGUUUGUAAAUUGUAAAAAUGAGUUCACGUGAAUUGUCAUACACAGGUACUUCCAUGUAAUAACUCUAGUGAAUUGUCCUACACAAGUACUUCCAUGUAAUAACUCUAUUGAAGGGAUCCUGUUACAAAAAUAGCUUUCGGUACAUGUGUUACUGCUUUGACUAGCGAAUAACCAAUUUGGUCCCAACCAAUUUGAUCCCAACGCAAGAAAUAACCAAUAACUAAAAGGAUGUAGAUACAGCCAGAAUCACACUUGUAAAUUACGUUAAUUUAUGAAGUCUUUUUAAAACCACUCGCGAGAUGCACACGAAAAUGCAUGCAAAAUCAUUUUUAGGACCAUCAUACUUACCAGCCAUCCAUGAAUUGAUCUUAUUAACACGAAACAGUUGGCUACUAUCCAAAUACGGAAGAAUUGAAAUCUUUGAUCAAGACAUUAUAUAUAAAUAAUAUGAAUUGCCUACAUAAGACUUUUCAUAUAGAGGAUAACCAGUUUUAUUACUCACUACAAAGAAUUUCCAUGAAAGAAACAUGUGAAUUCACUGGAAAAUCAACACUACGCAUGUCAAAUGAAAUUGUUGUUGCUAUCUACUUUAAUAACCAAUCAUUGGUUUAAAUUUAAAUAAAUAACUAAAUAAAAUAUAUAGACUUUUCUUUUGAUCACAAGUCGAUAUAUCAUCUUGAUUGGAGAUCCCCUAUAUGGAUAUAUACACAUUCCAGUUGAUUGAAUCUAGUUCUAAUUAAUUUAUAAUGAAGCAAAGAUAUCCACAGAGUGAUUCAUGCUAUUAUGAUAUUCACAACCAAGAAAUAUCUUAUUUUCUUUUGGAUAGGUCUUAGGAAAAUUUUAAAAAAAGAGCCUAAAGUGGACAUUAUUUCUAAUAAGAAUCCAAAGUGCCCUCAUUUUCUCAAAUAAAGGCAUGAAGUGGCUAUAUUAGUCUCAAAAAAAUGGCUUGACCUCGCCAUCUAGUGGAGGACAAUUUCGUCUUUCAAAUUUUUUUCUUUCUUCUUUCUUCUUUCAUUGAAAAAACAAACUAAAAAAACUAAAACUUACAUACAUACAAAAAAACUAAAAAUUACAUACAUACAUACAUACAUACAUAUGUAUGUAUGUUUAUAUAAAGAAACGCAAGGGAGAGAUGGCUCCCUCCCGCCUGUGGCCGCUGCUCCAUCAUCGGUGGGGGCAAUGACAAUGGCCAACAGCCCUCACGUAGGUCUAGUGAGGACGAGUCAAGGGUUGUCGGAUCUACGCAAGGGUGGACGACCCUUGCCAAGACCGAGAUGAGGGCAAGCAACCCUAUCAGCUGUCAGUACUGCCCCAUUGGUGAUGGAGCGACCUAUAUUUUUGCUUUAAUAAAACUUUUGUCUUUUUUAUUUUGUUUUUAAACUAACUUAACUAAAAUUCAAAUUAAAAAUGUGUUUGGACAAAAAUACUCUUGAUCGGCUAGAAUAUUUUGUCGGGCGAUGAGACUAAGCCUUUAUUUGAGAUAACCAUAACCACAUCAAGCCUUAUUUGAAAUAAUAUACAUUUCAUGUCCUUAUUUGGAAUUUUUCCUAAAUCUUGAAAGGAGAAGGAAGGCUCAAAUGCCAAUAAGUUUCUAGUACCGAAUUGACCGAAUGCGAUAUUACUCAUUUUGUGAAAUUCUAGUGCCAUAAAUAAGUUACAAAUCACUAAACGAACUUUCGAAUGUAGUUUGUUGUGUUACAUCAUAUGUGGAAGAAGUUUAUCCCAAAUCAAUCUACCCUUGUGCUGAGUCCUGUCAAAAAAUUUAUUGGCAGGGUGAGUGCAAGAGGGGAAAAUUUCACCGGCAAUUUAUGAGCUUGCAGUGGAUUCGCUCUCUUGUUGUCGCUAUUUCUAUCUGUAAGAAUAUAAUGCUCUAUCAAGGUGCAGGCCAUCGUUGUCACUAUAAUUUAAUGGAGACAUUCCAUCGAGUUUUCAGCCACACAUCCCAUGUACCAACAAUACCAUUGUGGCCUCGACUUGAUUUUGUAAGUGAUCUUGACUUGAUCGCGAUAGGGUAAUUAUGUAAUAUGUUGUCAACGUAUUUUUUUCUUUAUUUUACUUGAACAAUUUCAUACAAUAUUAAUUUGAGUGUGUGCAUAGUUAUAACAUUCAAAUCAGCAGUGAAUAAGACUGUUUGUGUAAUUUUUAUUUUUUAUAUUGACGAAGUAUACUUUGGUUUUCCUUUGUGGUAAUAGAACGGGCAGCACUAAAUGACACCAACUUUGGCUCCAUACUUAUUAGAAUAACAAAAAUGAUCGAACUAUCGGUCUUUUUAUCAUUCUAAUUCCCCAGUUGUGUACAUAGCCAAAGCUGAGGUGGACUUAGCGCCGUCCUAAAACAAGGUAAGGGAGGGAGAAGAAAUAAUGGAAUGUCCGGUAUGGCCGUAUGAGUUUUCAUUUUACUUUAUGAAUUGAUCUCUCUCUUUAACCUUAGAGAUUUAAUCGAAGUUUAUGCGAUGUUUUCUUUUGUUGGUCGAGAAAAUUUUAUAUGAUGUUAAGUACCUUGAGGUUAUUGAAAACAUAUGAAUAUUGCCAUUUAACGUUACCUUAAAAAUUUAUUUAUCUUGCAUAUUAGAGUCAGGAUGUGUGAAUUUAUAAUAUCAUAUGAUAAAAGAUGAUCUCGAUAUGAUUAGGAAAAUUGUGGUCCAUAAAGUAAAUCUAGUGCAUUUUAGUUAAUUCAGUCAUAAAUUAUUCAAUUAUGUCAAUUUAUAAUAAACAUUUUCAUGUUUUGCCAAUUGAGUCAAUCCGAUCAAAUUUAACUAAAAAUUGCUGACGUAGACACUAACCAUUAUACAUGACAUGGUCAAUGUUGAUGUAAACAUUUUAAUAAUUUUGGUUUUUCUUUUCUUUACAAGUUUUUUAUUGAGUGCUAGCGAGAGUUGCCGGUCAACCCUCAUCGGCUCUGGGUGAGGGUCACCUUGCCUCAUCAAGCCCUCUCCAGCCAGCCAUUGCUAAUGGCAGGUCUCCUUGUCUAGCCCUCUCCAACCACCACCAAGAGGGAAAGAAGAAAACAUAAAAAGGAAAAAAAUUCUAAAAAAUAAAUUUGCAAAGUUGUGCAUGUUAGUGCCUAUACGCCAUAUAGCAUGAUCGCCGCUUAUGGCAGGUCCCCUUGCCUAGCCCUCUCCAACCACCAGCAAGAAGGAAAGAGGAAAACAUAAAAAGGAAAAAAAAAAAUUGCAAAGUUGUGCAUGCUAGUGCCUAUACGCCAUAUAGCAUGAUCGCCGCUAAUGGCAAGUCUCCUUGUCUAGCCCUCUCCAACCACCAGCAAGAAGGAAAGAAGAAAACAUAAAAAGGAAAAAAAUUCGAUUUUUUUUUUUUUUUGCAAAGUUGUGCACGUCAAUGCCUAUACGCCAUAUAGCAUGAUGGUCACUAACUAGGCUACGACAUCUAGCGUUUUCCACUCAAAAUUAGCCCAAUUGACUUAAUUGAUAAAGCAUGAAAAAAUUUAGGACUGAAUUAACACAAUUAAAAUAUUUAAGACUGAAUUGAUCAAAGUAUAAUAGGUUUAAGGCUCUUUGGACAAUUUUCUCAUGUAUGAUUUUGUGCACUAUUUGAUAAUUGGUUGUUAAACCAAAGAAAAACAUAAAUUGACGUCAUGCUUCAUUAAUAUAACUUGGUUUGUUAAAUUAUUUAAGAGCUAAUAUAACCAAAAAUCUCAAAUGAUAUAUAUGUUCUCGAUUUAUCCAAAAUUACUUUUUUUGCCACUAAAAUUCCAAACCGAUACACUCGUACCACAUUUAUCCUCAACUCCUUUUCCUAUCGUAAAAAACCAUAAAUUGGUACAUUAGUUCCAUGUUUACCCAAAAUUAGUUUUUAAGUCACAAAAAUCCAAAAUCACCAAAAUUUUAGAUUAAGAAAUAUGCUAAGUUUUUUCCUAAGAGCUCUCUCAAGUUUCAAAAUUUUGCUAAAACCUUAAAUUUUUUGUGAUAAAAAAAAUUAGUUUAGGAUAAAUGAAGUAUAUGUGUAUUAUCGGUUUGAAAUUUUUUCAUGAAAAUUAGUUGAAGUAAAUGUGGGACAUUAUACUAGUUUGGGAUUUUUUUAAAACACAAAAAUUUGUUUUGGGCAAAUGCAGCAUGGAUAUAUCAAUAUAAGAUUUUUUUUUGUGGUAUUAACCAAACAUUUGAUGGAUCCAAAAAAAAAAAAAAAAGAAGCUUAUGUUCGAUGCUUUCCAAUAAUUUUAUUAAUUUUCUCUAACGUGUCAAGUUUGUUACCACCGCCCUCAGCGGCGCAGCUUGCUUGAGCUCUCUCCCCCUCACGAAGGGGAGAAAUUCAAAUCCCAAAGAUGUCAUUAGGGAUUCUUACCUGAAGUACCGUGGUGAUGAGUCUUGCAAUCGCUCCCUCACGGGGUUCCCUAAGUUACCAAAAUAAUAAUAAUUAUGCUUGUUUCAUCACGAAAUUCAAGUUGACUUUCACGAUUUUAAUUACAUGGCCAACUCCCUUCUCUUUCCAUUUCUCAAUGCGAUCUUUUCUUGUAGUCAGUGAAUUUAAAUUCGUCAUGUAUAUUUUGCUCUAAUUAUAUUAAUUUAUUCUUUUAGAUUCUUCCCCACUUUUCAUUUUAUACUUUUCUAUGUUAAUAUUAAUCUCAACGAAAAUACUAACAUAAAUUUUUAAACAUUCCAUUCUCAAUUUACUGAAUUUGACUCCUAUUUUUUUCAAUGAAAGGCCUUUCUUUUUCUUUUUCUAAUUGUCAUGCUUCUUCUUUUUUUCUUAUGUUGUUAAUGUCUUAAUUCUUCAUGUUGGUAAUCUUUAAUGCAUAUCGCUAUUAUGGGUGCGUUUGGGAACCCCUUUUCAAGGGGCUUUGGGGAGCUAAAGAUGUUUGGGCCAAAGUGGAGGUGUUUGGGAACCAUUUUCGAAAGCAAUUUCCCACCUAGAGGUUCAUAUUUCCUCACACCCUUUUCUAAUCUCCUCACGUGUUGCAUAAAAACAUUAUAGGCAGCUUCUGGAAUCACGUCUUGAGGACCAGACAAAUGGUCAAAAUAGAGAAAAGGAAGAGUAGCUCCGCGCCAGAAGAAGCAAAGAUCCGGCUGGGGGUUGUUGGAAAUUUUCAGUGAGAAAAGCUCCGCAGCUACUUCAACUCGAGGGUACUUGGAAGGAGCUUUCAUGAACAUACGUGCCGUUUUUUAGGAUGUACCUUAACAUAUCCUUAAAAGGCUUUAUUUUUAGUUCAAUCUAGAUCUUGAGACUUCGGGACGUAGAAAAACACUUCAAAAGUAUUCCCUUCUCUUGAGGAAGACAAAUAUAUAGAGGGAAACAAGUAGGGGUAUUGGAUGCGUGGGCACCGGCAAGUUAAAUAAUGGUCCAUCAAGAUUAACUGACUAGCGGUGCAGCCUUAACAUGUUGACACAAGUCACCUAAUGUUUGGUGAGGCUACUUAACUCGAGUUAGGGGUGUACCCGGGAACCGGACCGGCCCACCCGGAAAACAGUGUUAAUAACCGGUUCUCAUUGAAACUGGUCCGAGAAUCGGUUCCCAAAAUUCGGAACCGAUUUAAACUAGUUCGAGAAUCGGGUUCGAUUGAUUACCAACCCAGGAAUCGGUUUCCGAACCAGUUUUGUAAGUAUAGGUCAAAAAUCCUAUUUUUUUCCUCUUAUUUCUAUUCUUACUCUUGCAACGUUUUUCCUCUUGGUUCUCUCAAACACACACGGCACUUCUCUUUCAUUGUUCCUCUUCCUCACUUGUUUCUCUCCCUCGUCGACUCCUCUCGCACUGUCUGAUGGAUGGACGGUGUUCGUCGCAUUAAAUUUUUGUAUAUCAUGUGGAUUGGCUCACAUAAUUUCUCUUUUGUAGGAAUUAUGCUUACAUAAAUGAGUAGCUUUCAUAUAGUAGUUGUGGGAAUAAGACUAAUAUUAGACCCAUGUUUGUUGCUAAUUCUUUGCCUUAUAAUUUUAUUUAUUAUAAUUAGCUAUGUGGAUCCUUAAUAUUUCAUUUAGUCAAAAAAUUCGUGUAUUUAUUUAUUACAAGUGCUUAAUAUUUGAGGAUUAUGUUAUUUUUUCGCGUAUUAAUAUAAAAUUCGAAGUCAUAUAGAAUAUCAAGAAAUUGCAAAACAAGUUCUAGUGAAAAUAGAGUUGACCAUGAAAUCAAAUCGGAAAAACAAAGUGGGUCGGGUAUAGUGUUCAAUACAAAUAAAGUCAGGUACAUGAUCUAAAAAACGGGAAUACAAUAUCGGAUACAGGGUUCAAGUCUGGACCCUACCCACCCUGGACCACUCUUAACCCGAGUGAAGUUAAAGGAGCUUUUGUGUCCACACAUGCUGUUUUUGACAUACGGGGUCUGGCUGCAGUUUCUCUCCUUGGAGCCACAAGCCGUGGCCGUGAGCGAUGCUGUGGGGAUGUUCUUGACAGCAGAAUGGACCACUUAUCGAUUAUAGCCAGAAAAGCCCACGACCCCACCCCAUCCGUGGUUUUCGUGGAGCACGAUUCCCUUCUGUCAAUUCACUACGCCCACCAGUUUCUUCCCCUCUCUUCCUGCUGUCCCUGUCUUGUCCAUUCACGAGAGAGAGAGAGAGAGAGCCAUCUGUCUAAACGGACAUUAAAGGCUGGAGAUUUAUAGCAUGACCCAUGUAGCUUACUUUUGUGGAAUCUACGAAACCUGCAUUAAGAUGAGCCAAGAUUAGGAUGGUGUCUUUAUCGAAUGACAAGGGUAGCUUCCCGUUCUCGCGCUUUGGGAUUUUGCCCAAGCGCAGUUUGAAAGACAGUAAUCCUGGUCCCGCGUCCAAAUUACUUAGGACAGGGCGGACAUUGCUCAGCACGAGUGUUCAUAGCAUAGAAGCAGCAUCGUUUAGUAGUUACCCGAGAAUCCCUGCAAUCAAAGGCAAAAGAUCCAUCUGCAAUACACAUCCUCUUGUUCUGUAAUCAUAGUAUUUUACGUGAUGCAUUCGAAUAUCAUGGCUUAACUUAUAUUUAUAGAUACAUGCAAACCGCAUUGUCCACGUGCAUCGAGUAAGACUCCGCCCAUAAGGUGGCGAGUGUAUUUUCAAGGCUAACAUAUUAUCUAUCGGAUCCAAACCAUGCACUUAACCACUUAACGAACCCCUUCUUUCCACGAUUGUCAAUGCCGGAUGCUCUAUGAACGCGGAUAACAACCGCGAGGUCGUUGCAUGUGCCAGCCGCAUGACAUUCCAUCCCGACUUCUUUAAAAGGCUAAUCAUCCCCCCCGCGGGAAACAUCAGAUAAUUCGCAACACUUGAGCUGGGCUUGGGCCUGGGCCUGGGCCUGGGCUUGAAUAUUCGGUAUAAAGUCUAGAUAUCGAUGUUGGGCCUCCUGCGGAAAGCCCAUGGAUCCGCCGCCCUCCCCGGCCCAUCUGAUUGCCCAUCGUUCCGUCUGCAUUUAUCCGCUCUCUAAUCGGUCAAAUCGAAGACGAACUGAAAAUCCCUGCUCGACGAAGGCGGUGAUCGAUCAGGAAUUCCUGCAACGAAGCUCGAUUCUCCUUCUUUCUCCUUCUCAUUCUUCAAUCCGAGAGCUUCCCUUCGAUUCUCAGCCGAAAGGAUCUUCGAAGAUGCAGCUCGAAUCGGAGAAACCCUUCCAAAUCUUCCUUCAGUCGCACGACCUCCGCAUCCCCACUCGAACCCUAACCCUAUCCCCGGCGCCGUCCGACACCCUCCGCCACCUCAAGCGCUCCCUCUUCCCCGCCGCCGACUCGCCGCCGGAUCUCUACUUCACCCUCGAUGGGAAGGCCCUCGACGAUUCGACCCCGAUCGUGGGCUCCGGGGUCUCGCCGCUCUCGACCCUGGUCCUGCGGUGCAGGCUCCGGGGCGGCGGCGGCGAUGGCGGCGCGACGGGGGCGGAGUCGCGGGACUGCUACUUGAACAUGUACGCGGAGAAGAAGCCCGACAAGGCGGACCCGAACGAGCAGAGGAUCUCGAAGUGGGUGAAUUGCGCCUUGUCCAGCGAGCCCUUGAGGGAACCCUGCGUGGUGGACAAGUUGGGGAAUAUCUUCAAUAAGCAGGCUCUGGUGGAGGCUCUUCUGGGCAAGAAAUUGCCCCGGGAGUUCGGAUACAUAAAGGGUCUCAAGGAUAUGGUCAACAUUAAGCUCACGGAGAUUCCGGGCCUGGAGGAUGAUGUCAGCGGGGGCGCGGGCGCGCGGUAUCAGUGCCCGAUUGCCGGUCUCGAGUUUAAUGGGAUGUACAAGUUUUUCACAUUGAGGACCUGCGGCCAUGUGAUGAGCGCCAAGGCGUUGAAGGAGGUGAAGUCGUCGUCUUGUUUGGUGUGUCAUGAGGAGUUCAGUGAAUUGGAUAAGAUUGUGAUCAAUGGGAGCGAGGAGGAGGUGGCGGUCCUGAGGGAGAGAUUGGAGGAGGAGAGGGCAAAAUUGCGAGAUAAGAAGGCGAAGAAGGUGAAGAAUGGGGAGGUGGUUGCUGGUGGAGAAGAAAUUACUCAGUUAACUGGUGCUAAACGCGGCAUUGAGGUAAAGCCUGUUGAGAAAGCCUCUGUUAAAGUUGAUGAAAAUGGGAAACUGAAAAAUGGUGGACGUGGAGUGAAUGGUGUGCCUUCUGAUGGAGCUAAGAGGUUUAAGGCGACAGAUAUAGUCCCCCGUAAUGCUACAAAGGAUGUUUAUGCAUCGAUUUUUACGUCUUCGAGUAAAAGUGACUUCAAAGAGACGUAUUCUUGCAGAUCCCUCCCGCUUAAUAGGAAUUAGUUCUGGAAGGAUCUGAAACUUGAGCACCCUUGAUGAGUUGUCUUUGGCCAGUCUGGGUGUUUUAUUAUAAAUCAUGGUUCGCCAUUGAUGAUUUAGUUGUUUGUUGAUGUUGAGAUUCUCUUACUGUGGAAUUCUUUUGAUGUUUACAAUCAGAUUGUCUCGUUGACGAACAUUGUACCUAACCAUGAAAUGCAAGUAGUUUAUUUAUAUUGAGCCAUAUAUUUUUCUUUUUAUGAACUUUACGAAUAUUAUAAAGACUCUCUCACUCCUUACGGAAUUCCCUGCAAAUUAUAUGUUCUGUGUAUGCUUUGGUUCUGUAGUCCAUGAAGUCUUUUAUAGAAGCAUGGCUGUGUAUAGUGUUCUUCUAUAUUAUAUCUUCUUGAUAUUGUUAUGUCAUAAUUUCAGAGCUUGAAGCAUGUAACUUCCCCAGGUUUGUGCAUUAUCUGUGUAUAUUAUAGCGUCAUUGGUAGGAUAACUUUCUCCAAUGUUACUCCUUAGCUAUGUCUUAGGAUGGGACUACCCUGCAAGGUGAAAUACUACUUAGUCACUGAUGGUGACCGUGAGUGAAAGGGUAAAAGCACCUGCAUUUACAAGAUGUGAAAACCUGUAUGCAGAAUGAGCCUGCAAGUUGUGAUUGGUAAACAGAGCUGCAGUGAAAGUGAAUGGUUGUUAAGUCGGUGAUUUUAGUCCCAAACUCGGUGAGCUAACCAUGAGCAGGUUGAAAUUAGGGCAAUACCUAGUGGAGGACCAAGCCAUGGGUAGAACAAAUUCCUCAGCUUCCACACAUGUCAAAGAAUGCAUUGAUUUCGCAUUUGUUGACCAGUGGAUCGGAGCGGAACUAUGUGUGACCAAUUGACACAAUUAUAAACCAAUUUCAGCCAAGGAAGAUUCGUACCUGCUGUGUGCCAUGAUUCCUUAAGGGCUGGGAUGUCUUGAAAUGAUCCCUUGGAGAAAGACUCCUAUUACUGUGGAUUACCAAUAUUGCUAUGGGGAAGUGGUUUGUAACAUUAUGGCCCUUCUUUGCUAUUUAUGCCUUCAGAAAUACUCUAAGCUGACUGUCGAAUUCGGGUUAGUUGUGCUAUUUGGGACAUCUGCUCUAUGCACAUGAGCUGAGUAUUCUUUUAAAACUUUUUCUCAGUAUAUGAUAGUAUAAUAUCAUGCAAGCUCGUGUUCCUGCAGCAGUUUUUGAUGACUGUUUUACUUGCUAUUAUUCAUUUUUGUUGUGGUCUUUGUUCUCUGCAAUGGAAAUAAAAUUGAGGUUCUGUUCAUUCAGUUUAUGUAUGUAAGAUGUUUCUUAAGUCUCUUUAAAAUUGUAUAUGUCAGUGUAGUUCAUUCUUGUCAAGUUUGAAUGUUCGAGUUGGAGUAUUAAUUGAGACAGGUUCAGGCUUCAUAAUGAUCGACUCAAUGGGAUCGUGGGCUAAUUGUGUAAUUGACUUUGGAUAUGAAUCAUAUGUUAUAUAUUUCUUUGAUGUUAUCAAGAUGAAGUAUAUACAUGACUGUCAAUUAUUUGUGCACUUUUUAGAUGUUCUUUCUUAUGCUCAAAUUCAUUCGAUCGUCCAGACUUCAACCAUGAUAGUGCAGAUAGUUCCGGCACCAGCCCUUUCCCUGCUACCGUUUUCUUUUUCUAUGCCCUCACAGCUCCUAGGAAUGGUAGGGUCCCUUCACCGUGCACAGGUUUAAGUAUAUGUAGUUGCCUUUUUGACUAAUUGGCUUCAUAGUGAAUAGCUUCCUCUUUUCCGUAUUAUGGCUUGCUACUUUUUUGAAGACCUAAUGGAUUACAGAACUUUCUCAGCGCAUUGUUUUCAAGGGCUCAUUGUCAUCACAGGCAAAACAAUGUCUCAAAAUGGGCUGAAAAUGAUCCUAUGGGGAGCUUUCACUUGCUCUAUGAUAGUUAUUGGGCAUGCUGAAUCAACAUUCAACAAUGUCUUUUUGACUAAUUGGCUUCAUAGUGAAUAGCUUCCUCUUUUCCGUUUUGCCAUGUUAUGGCUUGCUACUUUUUUGAAGACCUAAUGGAUUACAGAACUUUCUCAGCACAUUGUUUUCAAGGGCUCAUUGUUAUCACAGGCAAAACAAUGUCUCAAGAUGGACUGAAAAUGAUCCUAUGGGGAGCUUUCACUUGCUACUUUUUUUAAGACCUAAUGGAUUACAGAACUUUCUCAGCACAUUGUUUUCAAGGGCUCAUUGUUAUCACAGGCAAAACAAUGUCUCAAGAUGGACUGAAAAUGAUCCUAUGGGGAGCUUUCACUUGCUACUUUUUUUAAGACCUAAUGGAUUACAGAACUUUCUCAGCACAUUGUUUUCAAGGGCUCAUUGUUAUCACAGGCAAAACAAUGUCUCAAGAUGGACUGAAAAUGAUCCUAUGGGGAGCUUUCACUUGCUCUAUGAUAGUUAUUGGGCAUGCUGAAUCAACAUUCAAGAAGUUGACACCGGUUGCUUGGAGAAGUUUUGCUUAGAAACAAAGAGAAACUCGUGACCAGAACAGGAUGCAUAAUGACCUUUGCCAGACUGAUGAUCACCGAAGAAGAGUAUGCAAAUGUAGGGAAGUCGCAGACAUCCAGCCUCUGGUAAUUGGCCAUCUGAUCCUUCAAGAAGUUUUCACUUGCUGUAUGAUAGUUAUUGCUCACACUAAAUCGACACUUGAGAAGUUACACUGGUUGCCUGGAGAAGUUUUGAUUGGAAAGAAAGCGAAACUAGUGACCGGAACGGGAUGCAUAAUGACUCUGUCGCAGAUUGAUGAUCACUGAAGAAGAGUAUGCAAAUGUAGGAAGCUGCGGACAUCUGGGCUCCCGGUAAUUGGCCAUCUGAUCAUGGGCUCAUGCGCAGUCGCAUGCAAAUGGAGGAUGCACGAUUCGAAGCAUGGCACGGUUUUCGGAGCUGGGUUCGCGGAUGCACUGAACUUGGACUUUGCAUGACAGACCAUCUCCAUUUCUCCUCCUCUGUAUUGACCAUUAUCUGGCAAUAGCUGUUGUUUUUGGGGACUUGUAGCUGUCACGUUAGUGUGCUUGGUAAGGUCGUUGUUCCAUUGGUACUCGUCGCGUGCGACUCUUUGGUUUCAACCAUUCCAGCAUUCCACGAUAUUCACCCUCACUCUCACUGAGGGCAUGGUUGCUUUUCUUAGAAUAAGAACUCCUGUAGAUUAGAUUGAAUAUGGUCAUGCACGACCACUCAAGUUUCGAAUAGGUCAAGUGCAAAAUGCUCAGCUUGAGGUACAUAAUUCCUGCAACAAAGGCUAUGUAGAGGCCGUUCGAAUACGUUUUCAUGAACUAAGCAUAUUUUACAUGAAAAUACUCUUUGGGAACAUAAAUUAUGAUCUCGAAAGCAUAAAUUCAUCAUAUUUCAUGAUGAGAAUGUGAAUCUCUUCAUUGGGAGAAAGCAACUAUUUUAUUUUUUAUGCUGAUUGAGUUAACUAAAUGCUGUUUAUAAAAGGUAAAGGAUAGCAGCAAAAAUGCAUUGGUCAUACAUUUUGUACCCCUCAUUUUAUAUCAUUACUUGAAUAAUGAGGGUGUGUUAUUGCCUACUCACCUUCCUAAGUUAGGUUUAAAGGUUCACCUAGGAAGGUUUUACAACAACUUAGAAGAGGUCUAGCCUCUCCAGGUAUGUCUACCAAUGCCUGUCCACGUUCUAAGGAGAGGUGGCGGGCUACUUGGAUUCUCCCAAAACAAUGUCACGGACACGGCACCUAACUCUCCCUACAGCUAAAUUGAUAUUUUUCUUCCUGGUUUAGUAGGGAAUACAGACCACAACCAAACGGAGUUUUCCACCCUAUGGAGGUUCUGCCCCCUAUCUAGAGGACCCUUGAGCCUUUUAUAAACCUAUUUGGUGUUAAACCUAGCCAUUAUAUUUUUUGAGGCGUGAGUGCUAUCUCUACGCUCCUUUGUUUUACGUUGGGAAGGAACCCCUAUAGAAACCUCUAUAGAGGGGCCAGUGCCUAUUAGUUGACUGCCUCCCCCAUUGGAGACAGCCCCAUCCUUUAGGAACAGGACAUUAAGGGGUCAACCUCCUCUCGAAGCUUCUCCAUUCUAUUUCCCUGUAGGCCUUUUGAGGACUUGCUUAGGUCCGACUGUUUAUAAAAGGUAUAGGAUAGCAGUAAAAAUGCAUUGGUCGUACAUUUUGUACUCCUUACUUUAUAGCAUUACUUAGAUAACCUUAUCUUGAAAGAGUGAUUAUUGCGAACACUUCCGGUCUAUCCAAUUAUAAUCGCUAUGACAUUCACACCGCUUUUUUUUUCCCGCUUUGCACACGCGCCUCGUUUCUCAUCACAACACUUUUGAUAAUUUGAAUAAGUCUUGCUAACAAUUGCCUUUAAGACAAGCACCUUUAGAAUAUUAAAUUAACUUAAUCAAGACAUUUUGAGAACAAAAGAAUUACGCGUUAAUUUAUUAACAGACAAUGAUUAACGAAAACCCUAAGGACACUCAUUAAACACCUGUUCAUGGGGAAAAAAAAUAUCUUGCCAUUCUCUCUUUCAGAAUUGGAAGUGCUGUUACAUCCAACAGUGAAAUGACAUUCAAUCAUGAAAAACCAUGUUCCACACCUUAUAAUAAUAAAAAUAAUAAAAAAUUUGAGAGAGAGGGAGAGGCGGCCCGGUCCGGUCCGGUCUGGCAAUAUAAGAGAGAGGCAUCACCCGACAACCACCGACUUAUCUCCCCAUACAGCCUUGAAUCGCAUGUCCUCCUCACGAUGUGAGCACAGGAAGGCAGCCCUUGCUCUCUGCAAGUGCCUUUGAGCCCUUCCUCUGCGAGCUCCUCCCAUUCUCUACAGUCCGCCCUCAAUCCAGGAACCCAAAAAAAAAACCAUAAAAAAAAAAAAGACGCAGUUUUUAUCGCCUGUCGAACAGAAAAAACCCCCCCUCCAACAAGAAGAUUUUCCCCCUUCAAAAAGUCAAGAAUCGUUUCCCCACCCCGACAGAAAUAAAAAAGAAAAGAAAAGAAAAACGUCCAGAUCCCAUUUGGAGCUCCUCGGUCGCGACCCUUUUGGUGAUUCCUCGUGCGCCCACGAAGGGUCCUCGGCUCGAAUAUCCUCAGGUAAAGAUCUUUGUCCAAUUGGGUGUUUCUCCUUUGUCGGGUCCUUUCUCAAGUUCUUGCCUUGAGAUGGGUAUGCGUGUGGGGGUGGUGAUGGCUUCUUUUGAUUUUCUGGGUUUGUGUUUUGUUGUGACGCAGAUUCUGGGUUAUCGUUGUCUUUCGGAUCGGGUUUGGUAUAUUGGGCGCAUUGGGAGGACGGGAAAAAUUCAAGAAUGUCCGUUCUGUCGAAAAGCGAUUCUGUUGAGAUUAGGGAGGUUUGGGAAUACAAUCUGGAAGACGAGUUUUCGUUCAUUCGCGAGAUCGUGGAUGAUUAUCCCUACAUUGCCAUGGACACCGAGUUCCCUGGGAUGGUCCUUCGCCCGGUGGGGAAUUUCAAGAGCAGCUCCGAGUAUAAUUACCAGACCCUUAAGGCCAAUGUCGAUCUUUUGAAGCUAAUCCAGUUGGGCCUGACCUUCGCGGAUGAGAAGGGAAAUCUCCCGACCUGUGGAACGGAUAAAUACUACGUGUGGCAAUUCAAUUUCCGUGAGUUCAAUUUGAAUGAGGAUGUUUAUGCUCAUGACUCGAUCGACUUGUUAUCUCAAAGUGGGAUCAACUUCAAGAAGAACAACGAGGUGGGCGUUGAUGCUCGUCGCUUCAGUGAGCUAUUGAUGUCGUCCGGGAUAGUGUUGAACGAUAGUGUUCACUGGGUCACAUUCCACAGCGGGUAUGACUUCGGGUACUUGCUUAAGGUGCUGACCUGCCAGAGUCUGCCGAGUACACAGUCCGGGUUCUUUGAUCUGAUUAAGAUGUACUUCCCCGUGCUUUACGAUAUCAAGCAUUUGAUGAAGUUUUGCAAUAGCCUUCAUGGGGGUUUGAAUAAGGUUGCCGAGUUGUUGGAAGUGGAACGGGUUGGCAUAUGUCAUCAAGCGGGUUCUGAUAGUUUGCUCACUUGCUCCACUUUCAUGAAACUGAAGGAGAACUUCUUUAAUGGCUCGCCUGAGAAGUAUGCUGGGGUUUUGUAUGGUCUGGGUGUUGAGAAUGGACAAAAUGGUUACUAAGAUGAGGAAAAAAAAAUAGUAUCUGAAAUAAAAAUUUAAAAUAUAAAAUUUCUCUGCGUGUGUUCCCCGUUCACAUCAUUCUUUUUUCUUUUUUUCUUUUUUUUUGGGCACAGUAUGGUCGAUUGGAUUUUGGUCACUCUCCAGGAUUGACGUGGUACAUAGUUUGAAGUCCUUGAGAAUGUUAGCAAGUAGUGAGGAUAGGAGAAUAGCCAUGUUUACCUAGGAAACGGCAUUUAUACUUCUCAUUUUGCUUUACAUCGAAACAUUGCAGACAAGAUGACUGACCUUUGUUGUGUUUUAGAGCUUGUCUUGAAGGAUGAACCUUAUAGUGCACAGAAUCUGAGGGUGCAUGCUUGCGCGCAGGAUGCAUGCACACAUGGCGCAGACAUAAUAUUCACUCACUGCAUGCGCAUCUCCUUUUGUAUCGACUACUUUUGGGUCAUUUGACUAUACCUUGCAAUGUCACCCAUUAUGCCUUGAUCUAUAAUUUUAAUUAGUAUUAAUGCUAGGUUAGGACAUGGACGUGACCCGGGGAGGGUUUUCCUGUAGCAACAUCCAGUAGGUUCUGGUUCAAUUCCCGCCUGCUUCCUCUCCUGCGUUACUUAGGAAGAGAAAAGCUAUAUUGUGGCCUGUGAAUUUCUUUUUUCUUCUUUUCCAUUUGGAUCAUUGCUAUGUGACUUAAGGCUUCAUCAUGUUAAGUGUUCAGUUUCUCGGUCUGUCUUUGUGUCCCAGCUCCUUCUACUGUGUUACCCAUAUGCUCCUCAAAUAUUGGUAUGGAUAUUUAGCUAAUGCCAGGUCUUUAUUUGGAGCAGGUUUUGUUCUUUUAUGCCUGAAUCACACAUUUCUCAGCACAUCUCCUUGUCUUUUCUGUUUUUAAUGUCUAAUUUGGUCUGGAAGUGGUGUCGAAUCAUCAUGCAGUCAUGAUAUGCUGAUUUAUAUUCUGAGCAGACGACCUACACUGCUUAAAGAAAUUUCCCAUGUCUUGUAUAUUAUUAAAUUUUACCAACUGUGACCUGGAACUUUGGAUAUCAUAGUAGUGCAGCAGGUAGAUCUUGUGCAACAAAUUAUUGGCUUAUGUUGCAACUUUCUGCUACUCCGGCAUCCUCCGUUAUAUUGUCUCCUGGCAAAAGUUUAGUUCUUUUAGUUUGAUGGUGUUGCAAUGGGUGAGCUACUGGCUUUUACAAACUGAUGGCCAUUUGUAUCUACUCCAUUGUUCAGCAUUUGCCAUUUGCCAUUUGUCAUUUGCGUCCUGGGUGAAAAAGAUGUUCAGCAUUAUGAAAACGUGUUUGUAAGCAAUAGGUAGGAUGAUGAUCAUCCCCUUGAUUUGUGAGGAUAAAUUCUGUAGGAUUAGUUAUGGCUGAUCUUGAGACUACUGAGUUAUGAUAUACAGUUACACAUUUGUCUCUACCUUGGAUAGCAUUUAAGUUGGCUUUGGCUUGGCAUAUUAAGUAGAUGACUAUGGAAUUUAAUCUAAUUUGCAGUUGAAAGCCAGAAAGAAACCGUGUCAUGAGUCAUGUUUUCUUUUGAUAAAUACUAUUCCUUUCUAGCAGCAAGUGAAUAAAAAUUAGCAAUUCAGUUCUUAUUUGGGAGGGACUUAUAGAUGCCAACGACGGAGUAGACAUUCUUCGGAGCUGUUCCAAUGUCAGUUGACAAGCUUAAAUGAUGUAUCGAGCCGAUGGAAUCUCUGAAGUCAUCAGGGGUCCUCUUCUUCUGUUUCUUCUUCGCACUUUGAUGUAAUAGGUUGCUUUGCAUAUCAACUUGGGUUUCUGGCUCUGCAAGUCGCAUGAAAUAGGCCGAGUUUUGGAAAAGUUAUUAGGUGACCAGGAUACUUGAGUCGGGAUCGACCAUAUAGUUUGCUCGAACAGAGAGACAUUGGCCUUUGCUAGAAGUGGAUAAACAGCAGCCUUUGGGCCGUUCAUGUGCUUAGGAAGGAGCAAGGCGACCCGAGCGGGGCACCUGUCUUGCAAUUCAAAAUUUAAACCACUCAUCGCUGCUACUGUCGGAUUUGCUCCAUAAGUUGACUUCCGGCCUUAACAUGUCGAAACAGUCUUAAACAUUUGCCAAACGAAAUCAGAGAUCGUGCCACAUCGGGUCAAAUUGGGUGCCCGGUCUUUUCAAAAGGUUAGACCUAACGGGCUUAAUCGAUGCGGAACACACGGGAAUUUCCAGUUUCUGGAUAGACGAUCCGGAUGACUACGUGAUCAAACCCAUCUUAAUCUCCGAUUAUCCUCCUAAAUGUACGUGAUUUCCGUUCCAAGUUCCUACCUUCCAAAUCUACAAACCAAUGGAGAAAAAUCUUUCAACCCAGCCAGGCAACCCAUUAAACUGACCAAAACGCCAUCGAUCCUCCUCGUGGGUCGGGCAAAGAUAGCGGGGCGAGACGAAGGGCAUAGUGGGAAAGAACGGGAAAACAUCUCCUGCUAUAAAUUGGCAGGGCCAUGGCCGAAAACGAGAGAGGAGGAAGGAGGGGUUAGGACUAGGGUUUCGGCACACGCGCUCCAGAGCUCCGAAUGAGGCUCCAAGAAGAAGAAGGAAGCCAGUGAUUUCCGCCUCUGACCCUCUACCCGAACCAACCCCUCCAUCUCUCUCUCUCUCUCUCUCUCUCUCUCUCGCUCGCUCGCUCGCGCUCUGCAAGUCCAUGCCGGGAUCUUCUUGGCUGGACUUGUACUCUCUCUCUCUCUCUCUCUUUGCUGGGUUGUGGGGGUGUGUGUAUGCGAUGACUGAUGGAUAUAUACAUAUAUCUGUUCUCUUUCUUUUCCUUUUUCUUUUGUUCUCUCGAAAUCGCCCCCCGCACCCGCAAGGCGCGGAUCGAACGCCGCGACCUCCGACCCGAACCCCCCACGUUAUAUCUUCUGAGGCUGUGAUGAUCGAUCGCGUUCGCGUUCGCUUUCGCUCAAGUUUGGAAGGAGAGCGCGCGCGUGUGCCAGAGGAAAAGGUCGGGUCGGUGCGCACCUGGAGGGGCCGAGCGAGACCCGCAUUGCUCGCCGUGGCGGGGCGACCCGGACGGCCGGCGAGCCUCUGUUUUCGCCGGCAACCGGCGUUCGCAGCCACGGCGGGGGGCUUCCUGCUCGCUCUCACUCGUCCCUUGCGGUGGUCGGCAUUCGACCCGAGUCCCAAACUUGAUCUGAGCCUAAUGCACGAUCCUUACCCACCUCUCCGUAUUCGCGUUCUCAAAAACCCAUUUUUCGUUUCGAUUAAUUUCUCCAUGCUUUUGCUUUCAUCGUCUGUUCUUCUGUGUUCACUGAGCUUGGUGCAGAAGCCAUUGAUGGGGGAAGAAGUUCCAGCUAAGGAGGCAGGAGCGUGGAGACAAGGCUCUGGGGAAGCUCGAGAGAGGGAAGAUCGAUGCGACCUCGUAAGCCUCACAAGGCCUUAAUUUAAGAGAAAACAGUAGAAUUUGUCCAAUCUUUCCACAUUUGUGUCGUUUCUGGUUGAAAAGAAAGUGUCUUGUAUACGAUUUAUUCAUGACGGUGCUCCCGAAUGAAAAAUGCAGUCUUUCCAUCGAAUUCAAUUGGCAAUCUACAUGAAUCGGCCAGAGUACCCUCCUGCCUGUGGCCUGGUCUCGAAUAUCAAUUUAUGGUACAACGCACUAGGGAACUAAGGGAAUGUUGAGUGGCGAGGAGCGUUGCGCCUGCAGGUUGGGUCCAAUCCAAUUCAUGACUUGAAAUGCACGUUCAAAUGUUGGGGCUCGUCCGCCCAUUUACCCUUUGGGCUUGAGAGAGGCCUAUCAAGCAUCCUCUCUAUGGAUCAUUUCCGAGGACAAAAGUCAAACUUUGAAGGGAUAGUGACAUGAACAGUCGAUCAAAUUUAGUUCAAUAUGUAAUGCUUUUUCUGAAUUUUAAUCUAUGCAUUUAUAAAUUUUGGUUCGAUAUGUAAUCUCAUCUCUAGACUUCCAUUUUGUCCAAUAUAGUUCAUGUUAUAGUGUCCAUGGAACCAUUGGAUCAAUUUUAAGGAACAUAUUGGACAAUUAAAAUGUCACAUUGCACAUUAAAAUUUAUGGAUCAUUCACGUCAUCUUUUCAAAUUAGAAAGAAAAGGCCAGAAGAACAACUAAGCACGGUAGCUCAAUAACAAGGAAAAUGGGUCAUCUAUCUUUUUCAAGAAAGCAUCUUCCUCGUUUCUUUUCUCCAUCCUAGGAAAGCUUGAAUGACAUUACCAAACGGCUUAUCUAAUCCCAUGUGAUUUUCUCAUAUUAUUUGUUCCCAACUUUUCCUUUUCCUUUUCACAAAGCCUAAAGCAAACGGAUAUUCUUUCAUCCACUUAUUUUACCCAUCCAUUUUUGCCCUCCACCGUAGGACGGGCUAAUAUCUUGUCAACAGAUAAAAAGAAGAGGUCAGCUACCAUCAGAAGAGGAGUAAAAUAGUAAAAGAACCUCCCACCAAGGCACUUACUGCCUGAGAUAUAAAAUCCAGCUUUAGGGUUUCGGUCUCCUCCAUCACUCAUUAGUUUAAGAAUGAGGCUCUGCCUCCCGGAGAGGCUCAGGGUGUCCCGGCGGCCGUUGCCGCCUCUCCGGUCGACGGCGGAGCCGGUGAUUUCGCCCGCGCCCUUCGCGGACGCGCUCAUCUCUUCUGAAACAGCCGCUCCUUCCAAAAAAAAAAAAAAAAGAACAAGAACACAAAAGGGAAAUUACCACGAAAAAGUCCUAAACCUAAACCCUCGUCCCAGCGACGACGAUGCUGCUUCUGUUUUCUGAUCUUGAACUGACCCUCCUCGAGUUCGCACGCCCGCACAGCGAUGCACCGAUGGCGAUGCCUGCCCGAUCUUUCCCAGCUUUGCUGGCGAAGCGUUCGGUGGUAAGGCGCUGAGAAAAAAAAGAGGCGAUGAUGAGAUGCGAGCUACGGAAAUGUGAAAGUAACAGGCAUCGAGAACCGACCGUAUCUUGGCGGGGCGGCCAUAGCCGGCACGCAGCCAUGGCGGGGUUCCUCCUACAUUUGCCUGAUCAAAGGCGAAUCUGAGCCUCCCUCUCUCUCUCUCUCUUCCACGAUUCUUGCCCUGGUUUUUUUUUCUCCCUUUCUUUGGUUCUGAG
rnacentral:lncRNA from 1 species